ensembl:lncRNA
GUUGCUUUAGGUGCUCUGGGAGUCUGGUUUUGAGACUUGUUUAUGUGUCUUCUCAUUUUGACAGGGGUGGGGGUGUUGAUGGUGCCUGUACGGUUCACCUCCUGUGUGCUGAGGGGGGUGGUAUGGCAGCCCAGAAGCCUUCUCCUUGGCACUGGGAGCAGUUCACCUCCUGUGUGUUGGGGGAAGGAGUGGUACGGCGGCCCGGAAGCCUCUUCCUGGGCGCUGGGAGUGGCUCACCUCCUGUGCACUCAAAGUUGAGGAUUCUUUGCAAGAGAGUCUUGCCAUGCCCAGAAUCCAAGCACUAUAACUUGGUAGUGGGCAGAGCUACCUCAUCAGAUGUUUUUCUUGUCAGAGAGCAUACUCUUUCACCCCUAAGGCAACUAAAAGCCCAGAUACUACACAAAGCCUUGAGAAAUGUGUGCUUUUUUGGUCUUUGUAGCAUUUGGGAUUCUGACCACAUAUUUAUUGGAGAAGAGCUUUCUCUUUCAACUGAAGAUCUCUUCAAUCUCUUAAACUUUGCCAAGAAUAAUAGUGUUUCUGAAGGAGGACAGUCCAACAAUAUUAUUACUUCACUCUGGUCAAGGAAUCUUCCCAUUCAAAAACAAACAUGUUCUGGAAGUCAGGGCCCAAGGAAAUACAAAAAAAAGUUGCAUCUUUGGGUCCACUACCAUCAUCUUAGGACAAGGUGAUAAGUAAGGUACAAGUGUUGGGCAUCAAUGGAUGGAUGGCUGUCCCUGUCUGUUUAAUUUUCCUUAAAUUCUGCAUAAAGACUCCCUCCCAUGUGUCUGGCUUUUGCAGUGUUGAAUUUAGGCUCUUACAUGGGCCUAGCAAGAACCAAUGAGUAUAUAUUCCAUAAGGCAGUAAAUCAAGGCUGAGUACUUCACAUAUCUGUGAAAUAGGUGAUGGCUCAACCUUUGGAUUUUUCAUCCAAAAUGGAUUUCACCAUGGACAGACCUGGUGUCCUUGCUUGUCCCUCCCCUCUAUCGCAACGUACAUCCAGUUUCAUCUCUUUGGAGAUUUCUCUGGGAUGUCGUGCAAGCUUCUGAUUUGGGCAGUUGUUGGUGAUGAUUCAUGCCAGGCAUCCACACAGUGGAGCAUCUUCUCAUGAUUUUCUGGGUAUAUUUCCUUUUUUUUAGUGCAACAUGGGCAAGUUAGUGAGACCCUGUAUACAAAUUAAACACUUAAAAAAGACAGGAAAAGUAGAUCAGUGUGAAGAACGUGGCUUCAAUCUCCAGUAGAGGUGGUAGGGGGGAGGGGAGAUACAAACAAAACUAACAAGAGUGAAGCAAAGUGUAAUGCACAUACAAAACAUGUGCGGCAAGCCCAAGUGGCCAGCUUGAUGUGUACUCACAAUGUGCACACACUCUGCCACCCAGGUGUUACAAGGGGCCUUCACAAUACCCCAGGAGCUUCUGUUGGGUCUCUUAGUCUUUGUUUUCAACCUUUUUAUUUUUCAUUUAAUUAUUGUGAUUACCAGUGAUAGGAUAUUAUUAUUCUGGUAAUGCUGGAGAUUGAACCCAGGGCCUUGCUCACACUCAUGUUCCACCACUGACCUAAAAACUAGCCUGGGAGGAUUUUAAAAACUUCUUUGAUGGAUUCUGCACUCUGGCUUCCAAGAUCCUGGGCAUCCCUUCACAGCCAAAUUCUGUGGGCUUUUUUCAGCCUUGUGGCAUGUGGUCUCACACACUUAGCGUUCUAGAAACUUCCCUGUCUGGCCUCUGUAACUGCCUGUCUGUGUUCCUCCAGGUCCUCUCCACUUUCUGUUUCCUUCUUCUGGACAUGUGUGUGGACAGGGUGUUCCCCUUGGUCCGGGCUUUAGCCUCCUCUUCAAGCUGUGACUGGUCCUGGUGUGUGCUGACCCUAUGCCCCUCUCCCAGCUCCAUACCUCUCUCCAGAGCUACACACUUGUGCCAACUUCCACUGGACUUCCCACUGGGAUCCCUCGGGGCAUGUCAUCCCCAACAGCCCCAGCUCUGUCUCAUCAUCCCUCCUGCCCAAGGAUGUUUCAGUCACAUUCUCUGUCAGCUUAAAGAUCAACAUCACCUGCAUGGACGCUUCACCCAAAACCCUGGCAACAUCGGAGAUGUCUCCUCUCAGAUGGUAGCAUUCCAUCUCCUUAGCAUCCCUGGAACCUGUCCUCUUUCAUACCUCACUUUUCCCUGCCUAAAUCUUCAUCAUCUUUUUCUUGAAUAGCUUAUUUCUCAUUCAUAUGACUGUUUAGCAGCAUAAUUAAUUGUAAGCAGAUUGAAGCCAUGUCCUCAAGUAUAAAGAGUGAGAUGAAAGAAUAUGAUUGGGGAAGAGGGUUCCCUGUAGGGAAGACUUCUCUGAAGAGGCCUCUCUGAGGCCUGAAGCAGGAGUGAGCUAAACCUCAAAACCUUUAGACAGCAGAUUCAUGGUUCACUGUGUGGUCUUCAGGUCUUCAAGCUGCCACUCCCUGUAAAUAUUGAGUACUUUAAUCUCAUCAAAUGCUUAAGACUCAAAAACAAAAGCCAUAUGAUAUUUCCUUCCUGUCAAUGUACCUGAUUCCAUCUGUUAAGAAAAGAUUAUUUAAUAAUAUUAGUUAAAGUACAGUAAGACUUUACCCAGGACCUUUGAGACAGGCAUAGGGACCACUGAUGCAGGGUCUUACUGUGGGGACAGCCGAGGCUCAUCUCUGAGUGCAGCUUGGGCAUAGGGGAUUCACAGCCAAGAGCAGGUGGGGUCAGCGGAUGGAAAGUCACUUUGGAGAUUCUGUAACCUGUGACAAGCCUCUUCCUGUGGGCAGGCCAGAGUGACCAGGCUUCACUGGGGGACCUGAUGGAACGUGAGGGGAGAUCCGAUCCAAGGGUGGAGAGGGCCUCGCUUUGUAGUCUAGGAUGACCUUGACCUUCUGGUGAUUCUCCUGCCUCAGCCUCCCAAGUGUUGGGGUCACAGUCAAAUACGGAGGAGCGCAAAAGAUCUGUCCACACACUAGAGACCUAAAGAAUACAGCUGAGGGCCUGGAUCCCACAGCAGUGUCCCCCUCGAGUCCAGCCAGAGCUCUAGAGUCCACGGCAGUGUCUCAUGCAAGUCCAUAUCGAGGAUCUGCAUCAGGAAGGCCCAACGGCCAGUCGUGGAAGCCAGAAAGUCUGCACCGUGAGGUGAAGGGUCUAUGCGACCAGGCUGAGGGAUCUGCACUGGAGCCCUGACGUGAUGCUCAGGGUGAGGACCCGAGCUCCUCAGAUGAUAACAGCUGAGUUCGUAUCAGGAAAACCAGCCACGGAAAGCUUCUCCAGAAAAAUCAACAGUAUACAGUAUUCCCCUCCAGUUCUCCUUCUACGCACUGGCAACAAUCCUCAGUUUAUGAAAGCAGGAGCUCGGGAUAGGAGGAGCUGAGCAGCAGAGGGCUGCGUGCACACCUCUUCGUGGUCCUCGCCGGCGUGGGGACACUGUCCUGUCCCGGCCUCACCUCGGUCCGCCCAGCCCGGUCUGUGCAGAGAGCGAUCGCUGCCGGCUGAGGCGCCCUCUCCAGGAGGUCAAAGGGAGCGGGACGGAAGCGCGCUCGGCCUGCGCAGUGUGCAAAUGUGUUCCCUGGGUGCGCAGGAGCCAGCGGCGCUGUUCUGCUUGUCUUUAGACUGCAAAAGUCAAGCUCAGGAGGGCCACAGCUGUCCAAGGUCUCAGGCUAGCCCGGCCCCCCGGACGAACCCCAGAGCCAGAGGCACAGCAGAGGCCUGACGCCGUGCCCAGGGCUACUCAACUGCCCCCUGUACGGAUUCCAGUGCGACUAACACCCGCCUGGGGAGAUCUGUCACUCCGCGAGCUCUGCACCCCCGCAGGGCCUGGGGCAGCACCGAGCCCGCCAUCGUCCUUCUGGUUCGGACGCGUUGCUCCAUUUGUCCAGCAGGUGGCGCCACACAACCGCCGGAAUCCGUGGCUUCCCAGCUCACUUUGAGAAUUAAGAGCAAAAAUCAAAGGAAAGAAGGGAAAGGAAAAAAUGACGAGAAGUGGAAAAAAUGGAAAUAAAGUCUUUGUAAAUAGGGAAGGGUGGAGGGUGUGAAUGGAGGGCUAGGAAUGGGGAAAAAAUAAGAACCAAGAUGCAUUAUGUAAAGGUACAGU